UGUUAACAGAUUAACAGGAGAGGUCUAGAUACUACAAUGUUAACAGAUUAACAGGAGAGGUCUAGAUACUACAAUGUUAACAGAUUAACAGCAGAGGUCUAGAUACUACAAUGUUAACAGAUUAACAGGAGAGGUCUAGAUACUACAAUGUUAACAGAUUAACAGGAGAGAUCUAGAUACUACAAUGUUAACAGAUUAACAGGAGAGGUCUAGAUACUACAAUGUUAACAUAUUAACAGGAGAGGUCUAGAUACUACAAUGUUAACAGAUUAACAGGAUAAGUCUAGAUACUACAAUGUUAACAGAUUAACAGGAGAGGUCUAGAUACUACAAUGUUAACAGAUUAACAGGAGAGGUCUAGAUACUACAAUGUUAACAGAUUAACAGCAGAGGUCUAGAUACUACAAUGUUAACAGAUUAACAGGAGAGGUCUAGAUACUACAAUGUUAACAGAUUAACAGCAGAGGUCUAGAUACUACAAUGUUAACAGAUUACCAGGAGAGGUCUAGAUACUACAAUGCUAACAGAUUAACAGGAGAGGUCUAGAUACUACAAUGCUAACAGAUUACCAGGAGAGGUCUAGAUACUACAAUGUUAACAGAUUAACAGGAGAGGUCUAGGUACUACAAUGUUAACAGAUUAACAGGAGAGGUCUAGAUACUACAAUGUUAACAGAUUAACAGGAGAGGUCUAGAUACUACAAUGUUAACAGAUUAACAGCAGAGGUCUAGAUACUACAAUGUUAACAGAUUAACAGGAGAGGUCUAGAUACUACAAUGCUAACAGAUUAACAGGAGAGGUCUAGAUACUACAAUGUUAACAGAUUACCAGGAGAGGUCUAGAUACUACAAUGUUAACAGAUUAACAGGAGAGGUCUAGAUACUACAAUGCUAACAGAUUAACAGGAGAGGUCAAGAUACUACAAUGUUAACAGAUUACCAGGAGAGGUCUAGAUACUACAAUGCUAACAGAUUAACAGGAGAGGUCAAGCUACAUGGGGCGGCAGGUAGCGUAGUGGUUAGAGCAUUGGACUUGUAACUGACUUGACUAGUUGAAUAACAGUAAAAUAAUAAUAGUACUGCAAUGUUAACAGGAGAGGUCUUGACACAUGCAGUAGAUGGUAUUCAUUUUUCUUGGACAGUUGUUUAACGUCUUGAUUUAUAGACUCAUAAAGAGAGUAAACUAAUGUUAUUGAACAUUUGAUCAAUAUCUUGGACUCUCACCAAUGUGCUCACACCUACAUUAAACUACAUUUAUUUGACAUGAUCCUCAUAAUAUAGCCAGUAUCAUAGCUUCACGAUAGUCAUAGAGUCUUCUCUUCCUCCAACCCUCUGGGGACAGAGUGAACAUCUGGUGACAUUGCUGCUCUAUUCUGGGACAAGCAGAACCACCCAGCCCUGUCUAUGUAAAUCUCAGUUUCACUCCCACAGCUACCAGUCUAGAAGUUGAAAUGUUUCACUGCCUGAAAUACCCUGGACUGGGACAGAUGUGAGGAAGUGACUGGUUUGAACCUCUAUGGUGUAUUCAGGGAAGUUACAAUAAGAGAUAUUACAUAAUUAAUGACAGACAAUAUAUAUAUUAUUCAAACAUGUUUCAUCAUGUCUCAUUCACAGAUGUUACAGUCAGUAACCUGCUUAUCAAGAAAGUUCAUAUAAUGCUAGAUGAUCACAUUCAUAUCUGGUUGUGAGGUACACAUGGGGAUUUGAUUUAGGGGGCUGAUGCUGGUGUAAAUUCACCAUUAUAUAUAUUUUUUUACAUCUGGAGAUCUGACUCUGCAUAUGAACAGAUAGUGUGUGUUUUAAAACUUCAUUUGAGGGAACUUUUCAACCAUGACAAUAAUUUUUCACAAGCGUGAGGAUGAUGAUGAUGAUGGGGAACAUGUGAUUUGAAUGAUGCUUUGUAAACAUAUUCAAAGUUGACCUCCUCUACUGAUCAGUGUUCCAUGUCACUGUCUCUUCCCCCUCAGCACCUGCAGUAGGUCCCAGCUGUAUCAGUACAGUCACUGUGCAGUCUGACUGAGGGAGGUUUUUGUACGGCUCUGUAUCACUGUGUGAACACAUGUUUAUUAUUGGGGAGGUGUAAACUCUGACAGUAGUAAUCUCCUGCAUCUUCAGCCUGGACUCCACUGAUGGUCAGAGUGACGUCACUCCCAGAUCCACUGCCACUGAAUCUAGAUGGAGUCCCAGAAUGGAGUUUGUUUCCCGGAAGUAUCAUGAGUUUGGGUUUUUCUCCUUGUUUCUGUUGGUACCAGGAAAGACACUGAUGGCCCCAUGACUGACCAUUGUAACAAUUACUAUGCACAUUACUGCUGGCUUUACAGAUCAUAGAGACUUUCUGUCCUGAGAGAACAGUUUCCACUGCAGGAGUCUGGGUCACAGUGACCUGUCCUCUGGAUUCUGAAACAGAGACAUUUAAGAAUUGUUCAUUAAACUGUGUUUGUUUUGUCUACAUGUUCAUGAAUCUCAAUCUUUUUUGAGACAGAGGCAAUUUACAUUUAAUAUUUCGAUAAGAAAAAUCAUUUGCAGAUCAUGAUAUUCAAUAGUCUUACCCUGAAUUAAGAACAUAAAUAUCAACAAGAAGCUCAUAAUCAAAGUCAUUGUUGAAGUUCUGUUGUCAUGAAGGACAGCUCUCUGUCUUGGAGUGUUAACUCACAGGGCUAUAAACACUCCCAGAGCACUGAAGCAUGUGCUGUCUAUGCAAAGUAUCUUAUAUGUAAAUUGUCUUCCUGGACAGUCCAAUUUUAUUAAUACCUGUUGUGAGAUGUAGACACAUGAUAACUAUGUUACUGGUUUCUGAUAUAAGUGCUGAAUGGGGACUGAUAUAUUAAUUAUAGACAUCUACAAAUGGAGCAUAUUGUUAUUACUGUGUUAUUAUAACAGAUAGUAUCUUUCUGUGUCUCUCCAGUGGUCAGGGUUAAUAACUGCAGUCUGUGUGUGGACUGACACUGCUGACUGACUGAUCUAAAGGGGAGAUCUCCAGAGCUCUGACGUCUCCAGUCUCCUGCUUCACCUGCUGCUCUCUGGAACUACCACAGUGGUGUGAGGGAGGAUAUAUUGGUAAUGUUUAGGGGCUUUAUUGUAUAUGUUUUAAUCAUCUUGAUUAAAUUCUAACUAUUCAAAACACAAGUGAUCUUUAGGGUUUUGAUCAUUGUAUAUCUCUAAUUCAGAUUGGUUGAUGGUUUUCCUUGAGUUAACCAACAGAGUCAACAUGUAGUUAAUAGUCAGGAGAAAUAUUAGGUGAUCAGUUAUGAUUUAAGUUCUUCUAGACAUACAGUAGCUCUAGUUUGACUCUUGUUGUUCAGCUCUACUACACACUGAUUCAGCUACCCGCAACUCCUUUUCCAACCAGCGGUGAAACAGAGGAGUCAUUGUCAGUCCUUUUGAGUUUUGAGCCUGACAAAGUCAUGUUAUGAUGUAUUAGUUAUCCUGUUAGAGCUUUUGUGCAGAAUCCACUGCUCUGUUUCAGGUGCAACGUUCAUGGUCAUGUUUCAGCAGUGUGUAGGAGGGAAAUUCCAAGAUGUGGGAAGUGUGCAGGAGGGCAUGGGACAGAGGUUUGUGUAGUUUGGCUGGAUAAAGUUGUGUAAACAGUAGGGGUUCUCCUAUUGCUGGAGAUCAGCGGUGUCCGGUGUGAGAGAGGCAGGUUGAAGUGGUCAGAGUAGCGCAGAGGGUGUCUGUCACAUGCUGCGGCAGCAAAGAAAGAGGAGGAGGAUGGGUGAAGGGUGAGUGAUACUGAGAGGAUCCCAGUGAGUAGUAGAUUUGUGCCAGCACAGAGGGAUAGGCCAGCGAGUGAGUUAUGCUUCAGUAAGGUUGUCUUCUUAGCGAUCAUAGCAAUGGUUAUCAACUGUACCACAGAAAUGGAAUAUAAACUACAGAGAAUGGCUGUAGUGGCGGCAGCUGCAGAGAAGUAUUUAAGUAAAGGAGAUUUGACUUCAGAAGAGUUACAGGGUGUGUUUAGGGGAGGUGUCCCGUCCUCCCAGGUCGUUGGCAUGGUGCAGGAGCAGAUAGGGUCAAAGUAGUGGAAUGGGGGAGUGUUUUUUUUUUUGUAACAGUAUUUUUUAUUGGAAUUUCACCAUUUUCACCCAUAUUAAGAGAUACAACAACAGAGACAAAGCA